GGGGGUCAUGUGAUGAUCAAAAGCAUAGUUCAACUGAUCUAUUCAUGAUUAUACAAAUUUAUAGUCUUUCGCUCCUAUCUGAUGACUCCU
rnacentral:snoRNA from 1 species